rnacentral:rRNA from 1 species
GAGUUUGAUUCUGGCUCAGGAUGAACGCUGGCGGUAUGCUUAACACAUGCAAGUCGAACGGGACCUUUAGGGGUUCAGUGGCGGACGGGUGAGUAACGCGUGAGAAUCGGCCCUCAGGUUGGGGACAACCAUUGGAAACGAUGGCUAAUACCGAAUAAGCCGAAAGGUGAAAGAUUAAUUGCCUGGGGAAGAGCUCGCGUCUGAUUAGCUAGUUGGUGGGGUAAAGGCCUACCAAGGCACCGAUCAGUAACUGGUCUGAGAGGAUGGCCAGUCACACUGGGACUGAGACACGGCCCAGACUCCUACGGGAGGCAGCAGUGGGGAAUUUUCCGCAAUGGGCGAAAGCCUGACGGAGCAAUACCGCGUGGGGGAGGAAGGCUCUUGGGUCGUAAACCUCUUUUCUCAGGGAAGAAUUAAUUGACGGUACCUGAGGAAUAAGCAUCGGCUAACUCCGUGCCAGCAGCCGCGGUAAU